UGGCAAUGAUGUAUGAAUUUCUUCAACUGAACUUGUUGCUUUAUGAGCUUUUUAACCAUGAACCAA
ensembl:snoRNA SNORD36 Small nucleolar RNA SNORD36